GGAAGUAAAAGCGUAACAAGGUUUCCGUAGGUGAACCUGCGGAAGGAUCAUUCAUAAUAAGUGUUUUAUGGCACUUUUUUAAAUCCAUAUCCACCUUGUGUGCAAUGUCAGGGUUGAUUUUCUCUCGAGAGGAUCAGCCCCAAACAUCAACUAUAUCUCAACUCUUUGUCUGAAAAAUAUUAUGAAUAAAACAAUUCAAAAUACAACUUUCAACAACGGAUCUCUUGGCUCUC
rnacentral:misc_RNA from 1 species